CAAGGAAACCGCAUCCCGGUAGUCGGGACAGGACACUUCAAAGUGACUUUCAAAGGGCGCACAGCAAAGCUUCCACUAACGGUCGUGGACCGAGACCGCCCCAGCCUUUUGGGACUACAGUGGUUCGCGCCGCUCGGGAUCGAAGUGACGGGCAUCGACCACAUCGCAGAGGCAGACUGGGAAGAGCAACUCGCAAGGGACUUCCAGGAAGUGUUCGACGGCACCCUAGGCAAGUGCCGAGGGCCCCCUAUUUCCUUCAGCCUAGACCCCAGCGUUCCCCCGAUACGUUUAAAGCCACGGCGGGUACCCUUUGCACUCCGGCCCAAGAUCGACGAGCAGAUAGACAAGCUCAUCAAACAGGGGGUACUAGAGCCAACUGAUCACGCCCGGUGGGAGAAACCCAUAGUCACCCCAGUCAAGCCCGAUGGGUCGGUGAGAAUCUGUGGGGACUAUAAGGCCACCCUAAACUGCGCAUUACAACAAAGCGCCUACCCCGUCCCAGUAGUGCAGCACCUCCUACACUCACUGAGCUUCGCGAAGCUCGACCUGGCACAAGCGUACCAACAGUUACCGGUCGACGCAGAAACCGCCGAGGCGCAGACCAUAGUAACCCACCGGGGGGCUUUUCGUUGUAAGAGACUCCAGUUUGGAGUCAGCGUGUGUGGCUAUUCUGUCUCAGUAUUUUUCCAUAAGAGAAAUCCUGCUCAGCACGUAUACCUCUCAGAGCAAAGUUCACUAAACUGACAGGAAAAUAACUGACAGGAAGAAGCUAAGUUGAUAAGAACUUCACAAAAGCCUGUGAAAGGAUGUGUAUUCGAUAGCAGUCACGAUGUAUCAUCACAGAAGCUUGUGUCAGAUAAAAUACAGGAAAAAACAUGCUUAUCAAUAACAGCCAAGAAGUUCGUUACUUGUAUCAAGUAAGCCUGUUUUAAAAGAUAAAGUUUGUAACUUCUUUGUCUUUCUGUAAUCCCUCACCCCCCUCUUUGAUUCAGCACAAUAAAAGAGCACAGCGUAGAGCA
rnacentral:lncRNA from 1 species